GAUGAACGCUGGCGGCGUGCCUAAUACAUGCGAGUCGAGCGAACAGACGAGGAGCUUGCUCCUCUGACGUUAGCGGCGGACGGGUGAGUAACACGUGGAUAACCUACCUAUAAGACUGGGAUAACUUCGGGAAACCGGAGCUAAUACCGGAUAAUAUAUUGAACCGCAUGGUUCAAUAGUGAAAGACUGUUUUGCUGUCACUUAUAGAUGGAUCCGCGCCGCAUUAGCUAGUUGGUAAGGUAACGGCUUACCAAGGCAACGAUGCGUAGCCGACCUGAGAGGGUGAUCGGCCACACUGGAACUGAGACACGGUCAAGACUCCUACGGGAGGCAGCAGUAGGGAAUCUUCCGCAAUGGGCGAAAGCCUGACGGAGCAACGCCGCGUGAGUGAUGAAGGUCUUCGGAUCGUAAAACUCUGUUAUUAGGGAAGAACAAAUGAGUAAGUAACUAUGCACGUCUUGACGGUACCUAAUCAGAAAGCCACGGCUAACUACGUG
rnacentral:rRNA from 1 species